CCUACGGGUGGCAGCAGUGAGGAAUAUUGGUCAAUGGCCGCAAGGCUGAACCAGCCAAGCCGCGUGAAGGACGACGGUCCUAUGCAUUGUAAACUUCUUUUGUCAGGGGACAAAAUCAGGCUCGAGUGCCUGUCUGAGGGUACUUGACGAAAAAGCAUCGGCUAACUCCGUGCCAGCAGCCGCGGUAAUACGGAGGAUGCGAGCGUUAUCCGGAUUUAUUGGGUUUAAAGGGUGCGUAGGCGGACUGUUAAGUCAGCGGGAAAAGCCCGGGGCUCAACCCCGGCGAGCCGUUGAAACUGGGUGUCUUGAGAGGUCGAGAGGUAUGCGGAAGGCGCGGUGUAGCGGUGAAAUGCUUAGAUA
rnacentral:rRNA from 1 species